CAAAGGAAAUGGAGGGGACAAAGACAUUGUUUGCAGUAUGUCUUGAAGAUCAAAAAGGCUCGUGCUGCAGAGGUAAAAGAUAGUGUUCUCAGUGGAAGCAUUUAAAAAGGCAGACUUCACAAUACGGCAUACGAGUCCUAUAUAAUUCUUUCACAGUUACUGAAUAGUAACUUCUGGAUAUUGGAGCUAAAACAGUCAUCUUGGAAGCCGUGCUGUGGUGUUAACCAGAGUAUUCUCUAUGCAGCAGAUCCUAAUCGGUGAAGCCAAUUUAACAAGUAAAGGAAUACGGUUGCACUUUUCUUGUUGACUUGUCAUACCCUUGCAAGUAUCACUAAAAUUUAUUUCUUAGAGCUGGUGAGUUCACUGGUGCUAGUAACAUUUCAACUUAUUUUCUUGGAGGGAGCUGCCCAGAAAAGCUGCUGUAGUAAGUCUUCCAACAUCAUCACCUUGUGAACAUGGCUUUUUCAUUCUCUUGAACUAGCCUAGAUGGGAAGACAACAGCACGUGACACCAUGUACCAAACGGUGGCACCAACAGCUGAGUAGGUGGCAUGCUGCUGGCGAGGACAGCUCACCUUAAGACUGGUACUCAUACUUUGAGAUUCUAGGUUGAUGCAAGAGCUGUCAGAAACCCAGCGUGUUUACAAGCUUUUGUGCAGCUGCUUGGAGGGUGUUACUGUAAGCCGAGAAAUCCGAUUGUAUUCUGAAUUCAGGCACGGUGAUAUAUUACAGGAAAAUUGCUCUGUCUAGGGAAGAUUAAUAGUUGAGCUGCUUCUUUUUGUAUGGUCUUGCACAAAUUCUCAACGUAGAAAUUGGGGAUCAGCAUAGAUUUUUUUUUCACAUAUAACAAUUCUUACAAUCUUGCGAUGUUGUCACCUAUGGAUGAAACCUUGGAAUGCCACUUUAGCAAUAAAAAUAGCAGUACCAAGUC